AUACGGAGGAUGCAAGCGUUAUCCGGAUUUAUUGGGUUUAAAGGGUGCGUAGGCGGUUUGCUAAGCGGGAGGUGAAAUGCCGGCGCUCAACGUCGGAAGUGCCUCCCGAACUGGUGGACUUGAAUGACUCUGCCGUGGGAGGAAUGUGUAGUGUAGCGGUGAAAUGCUUAGAGAUUACACAGAACACCGAUUGCGAAGGCAUCUCACGAAGGGUUGAUUGACGCUGAGGCACGAAAGCGUGGGGAUCAAACAGGAUUAGAUACUCUGGUAGUCCACGCAGUAAACGAUGAUGGCUAACCGCUGGGCUUAUCAGUUCAGUGGCCAAGCGAAAGCGAUAAGCCAUCCACCUGGGGAGUACGACCGCAAGGUUGA
rnacentral:rRNA from 1 species